rnacentral:rRNA from 1 species
GAUGAACGCUGGCGGCGUGCCUAAUACAUGCAAGUCGAGCGAACGGACGAGAAGCUUGCUUCUCUGAUGUUAGCGGCGGACGGGUGAGUAACACGUGGAUAACCUACCUAUAAGACUGGGAUAACUUCGGGAAACCGGAGCUAAUACCGGAUAAUAUUUUGAACCGCAUGGUUCAAAAGUGAAACACGGUCUUGCUGUCACUUAUAGAUGGAUCCGCGCUGCAUUAGCUAGUUGGUAAGGUAACGGCUUACCAAGGCAACGAUGCAUAGCCGACCUGGGAGGGUGAUCGGCAACAUGGGAUGUAGGACGGGCCCCAGACCCCGGGGGGAGGAAGAGGGGGGAAUUCUCCCGAAAGGGGCGAAGGCCUGACGGAGCAACGCCGCGGGAGGGAGGAGGUUUUGGGGUUCGUAAAACUUUUUUAUGGGGAAAAAACAUAUGUGAAAGAAACGGUGCCAAUCUGGAGGUCACUAAAACAGAAAGCCACGGCAAACUACGG